CAAGGCCAACCUGGUCUACAAAGCAAGUUCCAAGACAGCCAGAAUUGUUACACAGAGAAACCCUGUCUUGAAAAACAAAAACAAAACAAAAGUCUAAGCCAGCGCAAGCCUCCUUCUUCCCACUGCCUACUGAUCUGGAUGCAAACUCUGAGCUCCUUCUCCUGCACUGUCUGCCUUCAUGCUGCCAUGGUGAUAAUGAACUAACCUCUGAGUGUGUAAGUAAGACCCCAAUGAAAUGCUUUCUCUGAUAUGAGUUGUUUUGGUCAUUUAGUCUCUUCACAACAAUAGAACAAUGACUAUGACGCUUCAAAUGUCCCAGUGUUUGAUCUGCAGGCAGGAGCUCAGCCCACGUUCCAGCAUCCUACACAGAUGAAGGGAUCCAGCAAACAUUCCUCAUUCCUGCCAAGUGGAGAAGGAAUCCCUGCAGAUAUCCAUUAGUACCACCCAAAGAUGGCUUCUGAAAGCUCCUAUAACAGCCCAGAAAGGAGCUGGGGAGCGCUAAGGAUUUGGUGGGCUAUGGCCAAUUGGGCAGAUCUGCCAGUGGCCAGGCAGUUUCACCAAUAGAUGCACUAGGUAAAACAUGGUUUAAAGGGUCCAGUAAGGGGACUGGAGAGAUGGCUCAGCAGUUAAGAACACUGGCUGCUCUGCCAGAGGACCAGGGUUCAACUCCUAGCACCACAUGGCAGCUCUCAACUGUCUUUAAUUUCAGUAGCAGGGAAUCUGAUACCUUCAUACCAAUGCACAUAAAAUAAAGUUAAAUAAGUUACAAAAAGAAAAGAUGCUUGAGAUAUGGUUGGAAUGUACUAAAGAGACAGAAUCCGUGCCUAGCAUGCACGAGGCCCUAAUCUUAAUCCAAGGCCAUAAAAAGAAGAAUUAAAAUUAGAUACUUAAUCAAGGCAUAGUGGCACAUGCCUUUUGUCCCAGCAUUCAGGAGGUAGGGAGGCAGAGGCAGAUGGAUCUCUGUGAGUUUGAAGUCGGCCUGGUUAGUCUAUGUAGCAAGUUCCAGGCCAACCAGGGUACGUAGUGAAACCCUGUGCCAAACAAAUAACAACAACAUAAACAAAAUAAAACUAUAGAUGCUUGAGAUCCAAACAAUAUUGAUUCCAAAUGAGAAAACACAAAAUUAAUCAAUGACCAAAUAAAAUGUCUAGGGGAAAAUGUAUUAGGCCAACUAGCCACUUGCCUCUGCUCUCAUAUAGUUCCAUGUAUCAAACGGGCCAUAUGGAGGGAAGUGAUUUUCUUAUGCUUUAUAGAAUAUGGAAGAGGCCUGAAAGCCAAUCAAGGACCCUGGGCAGCUCCUGAAAUGGCUCCAAAUUGGCACUCCAGGAGUCUCUGGGGAGAUCACUGAGCCAGUCACACCACAGAACUGGGGACAAGAGAAGGAGCCAUGAUUGCCACUAAGCCCCAGGCAGGAUGAGAGACAUCCAGGCUAGCCAGAAGAAGAAGAGGAGGAGGAGAAGGAGG